rnacentral:rRNA from 1 species
CUAGCUGUAAACGAUGGAUACUAGGCGUUGAGAGUAUCGACCCUCUCAGUGUCGUGCUAACGCGUUAAGUAUCCCGCCUGGGGAGUACGCGCGCAAGCGUGAAACUCAAAGGAAUUGACGGGGGCCCGCACAAGCGGUGGAGUAUGUGGUUUAAUUCGAUGCAACGCGAAGAACCUUACCAGGGCUUGACAUGUCCGGAACCCUGCCCAAAGGCGGGGGUGCCUACGGGAACCGGAACACAGGUGGUGC